GGUUCAUUGUCAGGCUUUGGAUCUGUACUGGUUUUCCACGUGUACCUGAUGUGGAGGAGAGCAGAGACACAAGCAGGGAAGGAUUCCUGGGAAGCACCUCCUCCAGCUGGGACAGAAAGCAACCUCCUUCUUCGGCCUUGAAGACACAUGAGGUCCGGAGGAGGACCAGCUUCUCUCCUGGAAACUCCAGAAGACGUGUCUUCACUUCAAAAGACCCAAAAACGUGGCUUCUCAUAAAGUGUC